UACGAAGGGGGCUAGCGUUGUUCGGAAUUACUGGGCGUAAAGCGCACGUAGGCGGAUAUUUAAGUCAGGGGUGAAAUCCCAGAGCUCAACUCUGGAACUGCCUUUGAUACUGGGUAUCUCGAGUAUGGAAGAGGUGAGUGGAAUUCCGAGUGUAGAGGUGAAAUUCGUAGAUAUUCGGAGGAACACCAGUGGCGAAGGCGGCUCACUGGUCCAUUACUGACGCUGAGGUGCGAAAGCGUGGGGAGCAAACAGG
rnacentral:rRNA from 3 species